rnacentral:rRNA from 1 species
UACGAAGGGGGCUAGCGUUGUUCGGAAUUACUGGGCGUAAAGCGUGCGCAGGCGGCUUCUCAAGUCAGGGGUGAAAGCCCAGAGCUCAACUCUGGAAUUGCCUUUGAGACUGAGUGGCUUGAGUACGAGAGAGGUGAGUGGAAUUCCCAGUGUAGAGGUGAAAUUCGCAGAUAUUGGGAAGAACACCGGUGGCGAAGGCGGCUCACUGGCUCGUAACUGACGCUCAUGCACGACAGCGUGGGGAUCAAACAGG